rnacentral:misc_RNA from 1 species
GGAGGAAAAGAAACUAACAAGGAUUCCCUUAGUAACUGCGAGUGAACAGGGAAAAGCUCAAAUUUAAAAUCUGGCAGUCGGUUUGGCUGUCCGAGUUGUAAUUUAGAGAAGUGUUACCCGCGCUGGACCGUAUACAAGUCCUCUGGAAUGGGGCGUCAUAGAGGGUGAGAAUCCCGUCUUUGAUACGGACUACCAGUGCUUUGUGGUGUGCUCUCGAAGAGUCGAGUUGUUUGGGAAUGCAGCUCAAAAUGGGUGGUAAAUUCCAUCUAAAGCUAAAUACAGGCGAGAGACCGAUAGCGAACAAGUACCGUGAGGGAAAGAUGAAAAGAACUUUGGAAAGAGAGUUAAACAGUACGUGAAAUUGCUGAAAGGGAAACGCUUGAAGUCAGUCGCGUUGGCUGAGAAUCAGCCUUGCUUUUACUUGCUUGGUGUACUUCUCAGUCGAUGGGUCAGCAUCAGUUUUGACUGCUGGAUAAAGCUCAAGGGAAUGUGGCAUCCUCGGAUGUGUUAUAGCCCAUGUUCGUAUACAGCAGUUGGGACUGAGGAACUCAGCACGCCGCAAGGCCGGGUUUUUUAACCACGUACGUGCUUAGGAUGCUGGCAUAAUGGCUUUAAUCGACCCG